UGGGGAAUAUUGGGCAAUGGGCGGAAGCCUGACCCAGCAACGCCGCGUGAAGGAUGAAGGUCCUCGGAUUGUAAACUUCUUUUGUCAGGGACGAAGCAAGUGACGGUACCUGACGAAUAAGCCACGGCUAACUACGUGCCAGCAGCCGCGGUAAUACGUAGGUGGCAAGCGUUAUCCGGAUUUACUGGGUGUAAAGGGCGUGUAGGCGGGGAAGCAAGUCAGAUGUGAAAACUAUGGGCUCAACCCAUAGCCUGCAUUUGAAACUGUUUUUCUUGAGUGCUGGAGAGGCAAUCGGAAUUCCGU
rnacentral:rRNA from 1 species